rnacentral:rRNA from 1 species
UACGUAGGGUGCAAGCGUUGCCCGGAAUUAUUGGGCGUAAAGAGCUCGUAGGCGGUUUGUCGCGUCUGCUGUGAAAACUGGGGGCUCAACCCCCCAGCCUGCAGUGGGUACGGGCAGACUAGAGUGCGGUAGGGGAGAUUGGAAUUCCUGGUGUAGCGGUGGAAUGCGCAGAUAUCAGGAGGAACACCGAUGGCGAAGGCAGAUCUCUGGGCCGUAACUGACGCUGAGGCGCGAAAGCGUGGGGAGCGAACAGG